UACGAAGGGGGCUAGCGUUGCUCGGAAUCACUGGGCGUAAAGCGCGUGUAGGCGGUCCGGUAAGUCCGCUGUGAAAGUCGGGGGCUCAACCCUCGAAAGCCGGUGGAAACUGUCGGGCUAGAGUGCGGAAGAGGCGAGUGGAAUUCCUGGUGUAGCGGUGAAAUGCGCAGAUAUCAGGAGGAACACCAAUUGCGAAGGCAGCUCGCUGGGACGUUACUGACGCUGAGACGCGAAAGCGUGGGGAGCAAACAGG
rnacentral:rRNA from 1 species